rnacentral:rRNA from 1 species
UUUAAAUGGCCGCAGUAUACUAACUGUGCAAAGGUAGCAUAAUAAUUAGUCUUUUAAUUGAAGGCUGGUAUGAAUGGUUGGACGAGAUAUUAACUGUUUCAAUUAAAUUUAUAAUAAAAUUUUAUUUUUUAGUCAAAAAGCUAAAAUGAAUUUAAAAGACGAGAAGACCCUAUAAAUCUUUAUAUUUAAAUUAUUAUAAUUUUGUAGAAGAUUUAUGUUAUAAUAAUAAAUAAUAUUUUAUUGGGGUGAUAUUAAAAUUUAAUAAACUUUUAAUUUUAAAAAUCAUUAAUUUAUGAAUAUUUGAUCCGUUAUUAACGAUUAAAAAAACAAGUUACUUUAGGGAUAACAGCGUAAUUUUUUUGGAGAGUUCAUAUCGAUAAAAAAGAUUGCGACCUCGAUGUUGGAUUAAGAUAUAAUUUUAGGUGUAGCUGCUUAGAUUUUAAGUCU